GGGGCCGUGGGUUAGCUUGGCUAUACUUCCAGCUCGGGGAGCUGGCGACCUGAGUUCAAAUCUCAGCGGCCCCA
rnacentral:tRNA from 1 species